rfam:Takifugu rubripes chromosome, Chr_19
AGGAAACUGAUUUCCUAUGGUGUUUUAGAGUAUUGAAUCUCAUCUAGCACCAUUUGAAAUCGGUGUUCU